rnacentral:rRNA from 1 species
AGUGAACGCUGGCGGUAGGCCUAACACAUGCAAGUCGAACGGCAGCACAGUAAGAGCUUGCUCUUACGGGUGGCGAGUGGCGGACGGGUGAGGAAUACAUCGGAAUCUACUUUUUCGUGGGGGAUAACGUAGGGAAACUUACGCUAAUACCGCAUAUGACCUACGGGUGAAAGCAGGGGAUCUUCGGACCUUGCGCGAUUGAAUGAGCCGAUGUCGGAUUAGCUAGUUGGCGGGGUAAAGGCCCACCAAGGCGACGAUCCGUAGCUGAUCUGAGAGGAUGAUCGGCCACACUGGAACUGAGACACGGUCCAGACUCCUACGGGAGGCAGCAGUGGGGAAUAUUGGACAAUGGGCGCAAGCCUGAUCCAGCCAUACCGCGUGGGUGAAGAAGGCCUUCGGGUUGUAAAGCCCUUUUGUUGGGAAAGAAAAGCAGCAGGUUAAUACCCCGCUGUUCUGACGGUACCCAAAGAAUAAGCACCGGCUAACUUCGUG